rnacentral:misc_RNA from 1 species
AUGAAGCCAUGUAGUAUUUCUGCACAUGGGCAUACUGAUAGUAAGUUGACAAAUCUUUUAAUAACAGUUAGCCAAAUUAUCAGAUUGUCCUUAAAUUAGAAGUUGAAGUCCUAAAUCAUAACUAGUUAGAUACAAUAGCUCUUCUCUGAUGACCAAGUGGAAAUAAACUUCACAAAUUAUGAUUGAAACGGUCCAAGCAGUAUGGACACAAAUAAUGUGAUGCAGUUAAGGAAAACAAGAUUUAGGAAUUAUUUUGAUUUA